GUGAUACGGAAUCGCUAUUAUUUUUAAUUUUUAGAACACACUCAAGAACCUCCAGAAGCUAACCAGCUAACUAGCUACAAGCUAUUUAGUCAUUGUUAACUUUUUUUUUUCAACCUGGAUAACACUCGCCAGUCCAGCUUCCCUGCCCCAUCCACCGCUGCCCCUGGACACUGAUCUCUUGGCUACAUAGCUGAUGCACUCUGGACUGUCCAUUAAUCACGGCCUACGUACAAUAUUUAGACAAACCGAGGCUUCUUCCUUAGCUUGGAGACUUCAUACCCAGGGUCAUGCCUGUGAACCUAUCCACUCUGACUGUUUGCCUGCUAGGCACAGCCAUUCUCUGUGCAGACAUUUAUCCUGCAUCUUCAAACAAUACAUCUACCCCAACAGCACCAUCUGUAAGCCCAGAGGAUACUCCUGCCACCGUCGCAGCUUCCACCACUGGUACUAACACCUCUGCUCCAGGGACUGACCCCACAUCUAACCCCACAGAGGCCAAGAGCACCAUGGUCUCCACAUCCGACCAGGCAAAUGAAGAAGCCACAGAGACAAUAUUGUCAACUGGCGAGAUAGCCGGCAUUGCUGUCGGAAGCAUUGCUGGAGUGGCGGCUAUUGGUGGAGGGAUCUUUGCUGGUCUGAAGUUUAGUGGUAAGCUGGCAGGUUAGUGUUGCUAGACUGGACUGGACAGUGCUGGGUAAAGAUAAGCUGAGUGGGUUGGUAAGGGGAGAUUCGAUU
ensembl:lncRNA